CUUUGGAAGAGAGUUAAACAGUACGUGAAAUUGCUGAAAGGGAAACGCUUGUAAGUCAGUCGCGUCAUUCAGAACUCAGCCUGGCUUUUGCUUGGUGUAUUUUCUGGUUGACGGGCCAGCAUCAAUUUUGACCGCUGGAAAAAGGCUAUGGGAAUGUGGCACCUUUUGGUGUGUUAUAGCCCAUGGUCAUAUACAGCGGUUGGGAUUGAGGACCGCAGCACGCCU
rnacentral:rRNA from 1 species